rnacentral:lncRNA from 15 species
AUGAUUCUCUUUACGGGAUAUUUCAUAUUUUCAUGCCUCAACAGUUUGACAGAGGCGAACUCAACGCAUUUACCCAGGAUGGUAUUCACAGAAAAAGAUAUUGCAAUGAAAAAGGUCCCUUUACCUGGCGACCAUGUACCUGUACAGAUUGUUCUGGGAGGAGAGCCGGACACUGUCACAGCUGCUGGACCAAAAAACCUGAUUUCAUUCAACUUUCAAAAUCCUCAGGAGACUCCAGUGGAAAGAACGGUGUUGUGGGAAGAAUGCAGCGACAGUCAACUUCCACAAAGAGACUGCAAAUAUAACAUCACUGUGGUCCACAAGAGAGAAGAGGCCAACCAGGUGUUUGUGUGUGGAACCGAUGGCCAGGAAACUGUGUGCUGUAACACGAACUUAUUAGAGCAGUCACCCCAGUGCAUUCCCUCUGAAAAAAUAAGAUACAUAAAAGGAAGCAUAAGGGCAUUUGUCAUAAAGGAAGGUGAACCAUCAACCCUUGUGGGUGAGUGUCUGUACACACAGGAUAUUUUGUAAUGAUUUUGUCUCCUUCUUAUAAUGAGAUGGCACUGGUGCUUCCUGCUUGUACCUACUAGGCUCUACAGUCUCCCACUGGCAUCAAAAACAUUUUAAAUAAAAAUGUAAGCAUUUUUUUGUCUUUGCAGAAUCAAAAGGAGGUGAAGACCUUUACAUUACAAACUCUGGAUCUCCAGGGUUUGUUGGUAUCCACAAGUUUGGGAAACACCGAGUUGGACCAGCUAACCAAGAUAAAGGUAUUUGCAUGGAGAUUAUUAGUUUUCCUUAAGGACUUGAGAAGUUCCUUAAACAUGCAUAUGUCCUAGGGCGCUAUAGAGACAA